rnacentral:rRNA from 1 species
GAUGAACGCUGGCGGCGUGCCUAAUACAUGCAAGUCGAGCGAAUGGAUUAAGAGCUUGCUCUUAUGGAGUUAGCGGCGGACGGGUGAGUAACACGUGGGUAACCUGCCCAUAAGACUGGGAUAACUCCGGGAAACCGGGGCUAAUACCGGAUAACAUUUUGAACCGCAUGGUUCGAAAUUGAAAGGCGGCUUCGGCUGUCACUUAUGGAUGGACCCGCGUCGCAUUAGCUAGUUGGUGAGGUAACGGCUCACCAAGGCAACGAUGCGUAGCCGACCUGAGGGGGUGAUCGGCCACACUGGGACUGAGACACGGCCCAGACUCCUACGGGAGGCAGCAGUAGGGAAUCUUCCGCAAUGGACGAAAGUCUGACGGAGCAACGCCGCGUGAGUGGUGAAGGCUUUCGGGUCGUAAAACUCUGUUGUUAGGGAAGAACAAGUGCUAGUUGAAUAAGCUGGCACCUUGACGGUACCUAACCAGAAAGCCACGGCUAACUACGUGCCAGCCGCCGCAGUAA